UACGGGGGGGGCAAGCGUUGUUCGGAAUUACUGGGCGUAAAGGGCUCGUAGGUGGCCAACUAAGUCAGACGUGAAAUCCCUCGGCUUAACCUGGGAACUGCGUGUGAUACUGGAUGGCUUGAAUUCGGGAGAGGGAUGCAGAAUUCCAGGUGUAGCGGUGAAAUGCGUAGAUAUCUGGAGGAAUACCGGUGGCGAAGGCGGCAUCCUGGACCGACAUUGACGCUGAGGAGCGAAAGCUAGGGGAGCAAACGGG
rnacentral:rRNA from 1 species